rnacentral:rRNA from 1 species
ACGCUCGACACCUACGGGAGGCGGCAGUGGGGAAUAUUGCACAAUGGGGGAAACCCUGAUGCAGCGACGCCGCGUGAAGGAUGAAGUAUUUCGGUAUGUAAACUUCUAUCAGCAGGGAAGAAAGUGACGGUACCUGACUAAGAAGCCCCGGCUAACUACGUGCCAACAGCCGCGGUAAUCUGAGCGGGCUGGCAAGGC